rnacentral:rRNA from 1 species
ACGAUACGUAGCCGACCUGAGAGGGUGAUCGGCCACACUGGAACUGAGACACGGUCCAGACUCCUACGGGAGGCAGCAGUAGGGAAUCUUCCGCAAUGGGCGAAAGCCUGACGGAGCAACGCCGCGUGAGUGAUGAAGGUCUUCGGAUCGUAAAGCUCUGUUGUUAGGGAAGAACAAAUGUGUAAGUAACUGUGCACAUCUUGACGGUACCUAACCAGAAAGCCACGGCUAACUACGUGCCAGCAGCCGCGGUAAUACGUAGGUGGCAAGCGUUAUCCGGAAUUAUUGGGCGUAAAGCGCGCGUAGGCGGUUUUUUAAGUCUGAUGUGAAAGCCCACGGCUCAACCGUGGAGGGUCAUUGGAAACUGGAAAACUUGAGUGCAGAAGAGGAAAGUGGAAUUCCAUGUGUAGCGGUGAAAUGCGCAGAGAUAUGGAGGAACACCAGUGGCGAAGGCGGCUUUCUGGUCUGUAACUGACGCUGAUGUGCGAAAGCGUGGGGAUCAAACAGGAUUAGAUACCCUGGUAGUCCACGCCGUAAACGAUGAGUGCUAAGUGUUAGGGGGUUUCCGCCCCUUAGUGCUGCAGCUAACGCAUUAAGCACUCCGCCUGGGGAGUACGGUCGCAAGACUGAAACUCAAAGGAAUUGACGGGGACCCGCACAAGCGGUGGAGCAUGUGGUUUAAUUCGAAGCAACGCGAAGAACCUUACCAAAUCUUGACAUCUUUUGACCGCUCUAGAGAUAGAGUUUUCCUCUUCGGAGGACAAAAUGACAGGUGGUGCAUGGUUGUCGUCAGCUCGUGUCGUGAGAUGUUGGGUUAAGUCCCGCAACGAGCGCAACCCUUGAGCUUAGUUGCCAUCAUUAAGUUGGGCACUCUAAGUUGACUGCCGGUGACAAACCGGAGGAAGGUGGGGAUGACGUCAAAUCAUCAUGCCCCUUAUGAUUUGGGCUACACACGUGCUACAAUGGACAAUACAAAGGGCAGCGAAACCGCGAGGUCAAGCAAAUCCCAUAAAGUUGUUCUCAGUUCGGAUUGUAGUCUGCAACUCGACUACAUGAAGCUGGAAUCGCUAGUAAUCGUAGAUCAGCAUGCUACGGUGAAUACGUUCCCGGGUCUUGUACACACCGCCCGUCACACCACGAGAGUUUGUAACACCCGAAGCCGGUGGAGUAACCAUUUGGAGCUAGCCGUCGAAGGUGGGACAAAUGAUUGGGGUGAAGUCGUAACAAGGUAGCCGUAUCGGAAGGUGCGGCUGGAUCACCUCCUUUCUAAGGA